CUAAUACAUGCAAGUCGAGCGCGGGAAGCAGAAGGAUUCCUUCGGGAUGACAUCUGUGGAACGAGCGGCGGAUGGGUGAGUAACACGUGGGCAACCUGCCUGUAAGACUGGGAUAACUCCGGGAAACCGGGGCUAAUACCGGAUAAGACUUUAUCUCGCAUGAGAUAGAGAUGAAAGAUGGCUUUUAGCUAUCACUUACAGAUGGGCCUGCGGCGCAUUAGCUAGUUGGUGGGGUAAUGGCCUACCAAAGCGACGAUGCGUAGCCGACCUGAGAGGGUGAUCGGCCACACUGGGACUGAGACACGGCCCAGACUCCUACGGGAGGCAGCAGUAGGGAAUCUUCCGCAAUGGACGCAAGUCUGACGGAGCAACGCCGCGUGAGUGAUGAAUGUCUUCGGAUUGUAAAACUCUGUUGUUAGGGAAGAACAAGUACCGUUCGAAUAGGCCGGUACCUUGACGGUACCUAACCAGAAAGCCCCGGCUAACUACGUGCCAGCAGCCGCGGUAAUACGUAGGGGGCAAGCGUUGUCCGGAAUUAUUGGGCGUAAAGGGCGCGCAGGCGGUCUUCUAAGUCUGAUGUGAAAGCCCACGGCUUAACCGUGGAAGGUCAUUGGAAACUGGGGGACUUGAGUGCAGAAGAGGAGAGUGGAAUUCCAUGUGUAGCGGUGAAAUGCGUAGAGAUAUGGAGGAACACCAGUGGCGAAGGCGA
rnacentral:rRNA from 1 species